rnacentral:rRNA from 1 species
AUACGGAGGAUCCGAGCGUUAUCCGGAUUUAUUGGGUUUAAAGGGAGCGUAGGCGGGAGAUCAAGUCAGCUGUGAAAUGUAGAUGCUCAACAUCUGCACUGCAGUUGAAACUGGUUUUCUUGAGUGCGUAAGGGGCAGGCGGAAUUCGUCGUGUAGCGGUGAAAUGCUUAGAUAUGACGAAGAACUCCGAUGGCGAAGGCGGCCUGCCGGGCCGCGACUGACGCUGAAGCUCGAAGGUGCGGGUAUCGAACAGGAUUAGAUACCCUGGUAGUCCGCACAGUAAACGAUGGAUACUCGCUGUCGGCGAUAUACGGUCGGUGGCCAAGCGAAAGCGUUAAGUAUCCCACCUGGGGAGUGCGCCGGCAACGGUGAAACUCAAAUGAAUUGACGGGG